UGAACUUAAGCAUAUCAAUAAGCGGAGGAAAAGAAACCAACAGGGAUUGCCCUAGUAACGGCGAGUGAAGCGGCAACAGCUCAAAUUUGAAAUCUGGCGCAAGCCCGAGUUGUAAUUUGUAGAGGAUGCUUCUGGGUAGCGGCCGGUCUAAGUUCCUUGGAACAGGACGUCAUAGAGGGUGAGAAUCCCGUAUGUGACUGGCUUGCACCCUCCACGUAGCUCCUUCGACGAGUCGAGUUGUUUGGGAAUGCAGCUCUAAAUGGGAGGUAAAUUUCUUCUAAAGCUAAAUACCGGCCAGAGACCGAUAGCGCACAAGUAGAGUGAUCGAAAGAUGAAAAGCACUUUGGAAAGAGAGUUAAAAAGCACGUGAAAUUGUUGAAAGGGAAGCGCCCGCAACCAGACUUUGCGGCGGUGUUCCGCCGGUCUUCUGACCGGUUUAUUCGCCGCCGUGAGGCCAUCAUCGUCUGGGACCGCUGGAUAAGACCUUAGGAAUGUAGCUUCCCUCGGGAAGUGUUAUAGCCUCUGGUGAUGCAGCGCGUCUCGGGCGAGGUCCGCGCUUCGGCAAGGAUGAUGGCGUAAUGGUUGUCGGCGGCCCGUCUUGAAACACGGACCAAGGAGUCUAACAUCUAUGCGAGUGUUCGGGUGUCAAACCCCUACGCGUAAUGAAAGUGAACGGAGGUGGGAACUUUUUGUGCACCAUCGACCGAUCCUGAUGUCCUCGGAUGGAUUUGAGUAAGAGCAUAGCUGUUGGGACCCGAAAGAUGGUGAACUAUGCCUGAAUAGGGUGAAGCCAGAGGAAACUCUGGUGGAGGCUCGCAGCGGUUCUGACGUGCAAAUCGAUCGUCAAAUUUGGGUAUAGGGGCGAAAGACUAAUCGAACC
rnacentral:rRNA from 1 species